rnacentral:rRNA from 1 species
CGAACGCUGGCGGCGUGCUUAACACAUGCAAGUCGAACGCGAAAGGGGACUUCGGUCCUGAGUAAAGUGGCGCACGGGUGAGUAACGCGUAGAUAACCUGUCUUCAUGGUCUGGAAUAAUACGCCGAAAGGGGUACUAAUACCGGAUAUUCUUGCUUUUCAUAAGUUAUGCAAGCAAAGGUGGCCUCUGCAUAUGCUACUGCAUGAAGAGGGGUCUGCGUACCAUUAGCUAGUAGGUGGGGUAAUGGCCUACCUAGGCGACGAUGGUUAGCGGGUCUGAGAGGAUGAUCCGCCACACUGGCACUGGAACACGGGCCAGACUCCUACGGGAGGCAGCAGUGAGGAAUAUUGCGCAAUGGGGGAAACCCUGACGCAGCGACGCCGCGUGAGUGAGGAAGGCCUUCGGGUCGUAAAGCUCUGUCAAGAGGAAAGAAGUGUACAAUGGCUAAUACCUGUUGUAUUUGACGGUACCUCUAAAGGAAGCACCGGCUAACUCCGUGCCAGCCGCCGC